rnacentral:rRNA from 1 species
GACGAACGCUGGCGGCGUGCUUAACACAUGCAAGUCGAACGGAAAGGCCCUGCUUGCAGGGUACUCGAGUGGAGAACGGGUGAGUAACACGUGGGUGAUCUGCCCUGCACGUCGGGAUAAGCCUGGGAAACUGGGUCUAAUACCGGAUAGGAGCCAUUGUAAGUGGGAGGGUUGGAAAGUUUUUUCGGUGUAGGAUGAGCUCGCGGCCUAUCAGCUUGUUGGUGGGGUAAUGGCCUACCAAGGCGGAGACGGGUAGCCGGCCUGAGAGGGUGGACGGCCACACUGGGACUGAGAUACGGCCCAGACUCCUACGGGAGGCAGCAGUGGGGAAUAUUGCACAAUGGGCGCAAGCCUGAUGCAGCGACGCCGCGUGGGGGAUGACGGCCUUCGGGUUGUAAACUCCUUUCGCUAGGGACGAAGCUUUUUGUGACGGUACCUAGAUAAGAAGCACCGGCUAACUACGUG